AACGAACGCUGGCGGCAGGCUUAACACAUGCAAGUCGAGCGCCCCGCAAGGGGAGCGGCAGACGGGUGAGUAACGCGUGGGAAUCUACCCAUCUCUACGGAAUAACGCAUGGAAACGUGUGCUAAUACCGUAUACGUCCUUCGGGAGAAAGAUUUAUCGGAGAUGGAUGAGCCCGCGUUGGAUUAGCUAGUUGUUGGGGUAAAGGCCUACCAAGGCGACGAUCCAUAGCUGGUCUGAGAGGAUGAUCAGCCACACUGGGACUGAGACACGGCCCAGACUCCUACGGGAGACGGCAGUGGAGAAUAUUGGACAAUGGGCGCAAGCCUGAUCCAGCCAUGCCGCGUGAGUGAUGAAGGCCCUAGGGUUGUAAAGCUCUUUCACCGGUGAAGAUAAUGACGGUAACCGGAGAAGAAGCCCCGGCUAACUUCGUGCCAGCCGCCGCAGUAAUAC
rnacentral:rRNA from 1 species